UCCUAGCCCUGACUGCAAUGGAAUUCCUAAUGCAAGAGGCUGCUGUUUUUCUAGGGAUAAAAGAGCGACUGCAAGAAGCUACUUUUAUGCCGUAGAAAAGCAAAGCCUAUAAAUAAGAAUGAAAUGUAAGCCAGGAAUAGCU
rnacentral:misc_RNA from 1 species